rnacentral:rRNA from 1 species
GAUGAACGCUAGCGGGAGGCCUAAUACAUGCAAGUCGAGCGGUAGAGUGACUUCGGUUGCUUGAGAGCGGCGCACGGGUGAGUAACGCGUACAUGACCUACCUUUAAGACUGGGAUAGCCCUGGGAAACUGGGAUUAAUACCGGAUGUGAUAAUACGUAUAGAGAUGUAUUAUUAAAGUUGAGGCGCUUAGAGAUGGAUGUGCGUCUGAUUAGCUAGUUGGUAGGGUAACGGCCUACCAAGGCUACGAUCAGUAGGGGGCGUGAGAGCGUGGCCCCCCANACGGGUACUGAGACACGGACCCGACUCCUACGGGAGGCAGCAGUAAGGAAUAUUGGUCAAUGGACGGAAGUCUGAACCAGCCAUCCCGCGUGCAGGAUGACUGCCCUAUGGGUUGUAAACUGCUUUUAGCAGAGACGAAACGCCUUCAUUUAUGGGGGUCUGACGGUAUCUGCAGAAUAAGCACCGGCUAACUCCGUGCCAGCAGCCGCGGUAAAGUACAG